GGAAAAACGGAAUGAAGUGAAUUCGGGGUGAAAACCGAAGAUGCGGUGUUCGGAGGGUUAUCGAGCAGUCAGCGAGGUUCAAUAACAGAGAAUAUGCCUCAAGCUUCAACAUCCAACUUAUCUUCCUCAGAUGAUGAUGAAGCUAACUGGGUUCCGGAUGAGAUAGAAGAAGUUAUUCAUGAAGGUGCCAACUCUACAGUUCCAAACACACCCUUGGAAAACCUGAAAACAACAACUGCAAGGAAGAAUAGAUGAGGAAAACUGACUCCAGCCUUGGUCCUUCCAAAAUGGCCUGCGAUGGGGCCCUAAUGAGAGACCAUGUCAAAUUGAAGACACAGAAGGAAGGCUACUUUCUACAAACUGGUGUAGUAGCAACAAGUGCAGCAUUAUGGAUUCCGUUGAAGCAAGCUUCUGCUGUAUGGAGAUUCUGAAAAUUAAACAUUACAAGAAAGAGCUCAGAUGUAUUGUUGAACACCCUGAAGUCACCUGAUUGGUCUUGGAUGGAAGUAUCUUACAUCUUCAUAUCAUAAUGGAUAACCAGGUGUCUGUUCCUUCCAUGCAAAGAGACCCAAAUCGACAUCUGCGUUGGCUGGCAUAUAGGUCAUUCACUGCGCUGAUAUAUUAGGCAAAGGGAUCAGAGUGCCCAUUCCAGCCUGUAUGGGGAAGGUAAUUCGGGAAACAUUUCCUGACACCCUUGGAAAUUAUACCAGAUUCAAAUGGAUAACGGACUAUAAUACUAUGCGCACCCCCCGCUAUCAAAAUUUCUAAAGGUGUCAAAAAUCCAUACCUGUUCUCCAGCAAUGUUUGGUGUGUUUUUCUAUUUAUUUUUCUCUCUCUUUAUUUUAGGUUCACCCUCAACAGUGUAGCUGA